rnacentral:rRNA from 1 species
GAUGAACGCUGGCGGCGUGCCUAAUACAUGCAAGUCGAGCGAACAGACGAGGAGCUUGCUCCUCUGACGUUAGCGGCGGACGGGUGAGUAACACGUGGAUAACCUACCUAUAAGACUGGGAUAACUUCGGGAAACCGGAGCUAAUACCGGAUAAUAUAUUGAACCGCAUGGUUCAAUAGUGAAAGACGGUUUUGCUGUCACUUAUAGAUGGAUCCGCGCCGCAUUAGCUAGUUGGUAAGGUAACGGCUUACCAAGGCAACGAUGCGUAGCCGACCUGAGAGGGUGAUCGGCCACACUGGAACGGAGACACGGUCCAGACUCCUACGGGAGGCAGCAGUAGGGAAUCUUCCGCAAUGGGCGAAAGCGUGACGGAGCAACGCCGCGUGAGUGAUGAAGGUCUUCCGAUCGUAAAACUCUGUUAUGAGGGAAGAACAAAUGUGUAAGUAACUAUGCACUUCGUGACGGUACCUAAUCAGAAAGCCACGGCUAACUACGUG